CUUUCUCAGCCUGGAGACUGAAAGCUCUCUUUGGCUGUUGGCCCUCCCAGGCAGAGUCCACUGGCUGUUAGGGUGAAAUGGGGCUGAUGCUUCCUGGAAUCCACCAGAAGUAUGCAAAUUGCACCAUCUCUUUCAGCUGCCUGCGCCUGCAUUCCAUCGAGGAUUCCCAAUGGGAAACCUGAAUAACCAGGCAGUGCCAGGGUCACCACUACUGAAGCUGAGGUUGAUUUAUGAACAGAUCCAAAUGUUAAUGUCAUUGAGAAACACCUUGACUGACACACCCAGAAUAAUGUUUGAGCAAACAUCCGGGCUCUCCAUGGCUCAGUCAAACUGGCACAUCAUACUCUGAGUGAGAUUGGAAGACACGGAGGCUGAGUGACUUGGGCAAUGAUUCAGCAAUACCAACUGUGAACUCUCAAUGACUUGGGCUAAUGAGAAGAAUGACAUGGAUAAUCUAAAAAUAAUGGACAACUGGAAAAAACAUCAGCCUGCUUGUGGAGCACACCAGGUCAUGAUUUCUGCAGUGGGGGAGGAGCUGAUUUGCUUCAUUCAUUCUAGAACCUCUAUUCUAGCUGAUGUUAAAUCUGGUUGUUUUUGAGAGCACUCAUAGCCAUCAUGCCCAUCUCUGUAUCACAGGGGUUUGGGAAAAGAAACUCUUCUGGCCAAGGAUGGAAGAAUAAAAACAUAACUGAGUUCCAGAUAUGCUAAUGUUUUCCACUAUUGCAUCUCUAAGAUAUCAGUAGGACCUGGAAAGGUGGCAAUGACCUCAUGGCUCCCAGGUGCUGGGGUUGCUGCAAUGGCUGGAGCUGAGAAAAACUUGAAGGUUUUAGAGAAGCUCUGCUUCCAAAUGAAGGGUGCAGAGUAAUUAAUGCCCCAAGCUACAUGGAGUGGCCAAUUGAAGAAGCUAUAAAAGUUGGAGCAGUGCAGGAAGCAACAUGCCUGGGAAAGGGGAUUUUUUUGCACUUUUUAUUGCAAUAAUGCAGGAACAUUCUAUGAAUAGAAUCCAGGGGAGCCAUCAAGUCCAUGUUCGGGUGACUGUAAGGGGAGGGAUUUUGAUCCUCUUCCGAGACAGCUGUCUUCAGGCUCAGGCACAGAUCACAUUAUUUUAUUAGAGCCUUCAGUAGUUAAGAGAAAGUUCUUGGUUGAAUUGGGAAAGGGACCUAAAAAUAACUGUAAAAUUUUGAGCUAGCUCUGCCCCUUUCUGUACUAGAUACAAUCCUGGAUGUAGAGAAUCAGAGACUUGAGGUUAAGACCUAGCUCUGGCACCAACUUGGACAAGUCACAUCACCUAUCUCCACCUAUCUCCUUCACUGUGAAAUGAGAGGAUUGGAAUAAAUGAUAUCUAAAUCUCCCCUGGCCUCCAUUGUUUCUGCUUUGUGGAUGCCGUUUUAUGGAUUGAGAAAUCAAAGUCUAUUGAUGAAAAUGAUUGCAAUGUGCAGAUUCACUUGGAACACAGAAAGACUCAGAGAGCUGGUCAGUACCAAAGGAGGUUGGAGUGCUUUGCCUUGAAUGCAAGAAAUAACGAUGUGCAAUGUCAUGGAGAAUUUUAAAACAAUAAUAGAUACAAGAAAAAGUCGGUCUGCUUUUUAUUAUCACCAUGCACUGACAGUUCUAAGCAAUGUCAGUGAUAAAAUAUUCCUCACCUUGAUGGACAACUCUCCCCAUCCUCCAUCCUUGGUAUACCACUGUUUAUCUGUACAAUUCUCUUUUUAUUCAAUGCUCUUUCAAUUCCUCUCACUACACAGGAAGAAAAUCUCUUUAAGGAGCUCUUUUUUUUUUUUUAACAUUUUUCUUUCUCUCUCUUUCUUUCUUUUUCUUUCUUUCUUUUUUUUUAACCACUUCUUAGCAUUGAUUUAUCCCUAGUAAAGAAGAAUGAUGAAUUACUUUGAGUUACUUCUUUAGUAAGAAAGGUAUGCUAUAGGAGAGAACUGGAAAGGGACCAAGGAAGCAGGGACAAUAAACAUGGAGAGACCAGAAUAUGGAAUGAGGUGUGGAAUGGGUACAGAAGGCUGGGUGGCUUGUGGGUCAAGUCCUGAACACAUGGCUUGUGGACAGGGUGUGGACAGCUCCCUGAAGGCCCAGGUUAGGUUGGGCAUGUGGUGCAUGAAAACAGACCCUGCCUGCCUCUCAGCUCAGAUUUCUCAGAUUUCCAGCACCCCGGCCCUUUCCUGGGGCUUCCCCUUGCCUCCCCUCAGGUGGAUUUCCUAAGAGUGAACCCUCUGUACUACACCUGCAGUCACACCACUCGCCAUCCUUCUCUGAGUUGGAUUUCCUCUCCACCCUGCCCUGGUGUCUAGAAUAUGAAAAGGCUUUGCCACCCUGGGGACUUGCAUAUCCUGCAUUGGUGCCUCCCUUUUGCAGGCCUGGCCCCCUUGGUGUUCAACCUUCUGCGAGCUAGCACCUGCUGCAGGGUGCAUUUGCGUGCUCCAAGGAGCCAUUCCUGUGACAAAAUAAUCUAUGCACAUUCUUUGGGGGCUGAAUGGGCUGCUCUGGAGAACAACAGAGGGGACCCCCAGAAAAAUAUGAGUGUGGUGGAGGAAGAGGCUGAAGGCAGGGUGUUAACCCUAAAGAUAGAGAUCUUUGUCCUCUCAAAUUAAAUAAGAAGUUUUGGGUUUUUGUUUGUUUGUUUGCAAAGUGAGAACCCAGUUAGUAGCAAUUAAAUUGACAACCCAAUUCAAACCAGUCCAAACUGAAGCCAUGAGGGCCAAGUUCUAGUUUCUUACAGAUUUACAAUUUGCUAAAUUUUCUCUUUGACACACACAUCAGACACAUAUUCCCUCUGGCACAUUCAGUUUCUAAUUGUUAUCCUAAGAUGAUUUAUUUAUUCUUACAGGAAGAGAAAAGAAAGGGGCAGCUUUUACCGAAGUUUGUCUUAUUUCUUUCACUCUUUCUUUUCUGAUUAUAAAAGCCACACAUGUUUACCAUAGAAAGCUUAGCACAUGAAUAUUCUAAACAGAGAUAAAUACUUCCUAUCAACCCCAUCAUUCAGAGAUGACCACUCUCCAUUUGCAGCUGUGGUUGACAUGGAAUCGUCUGGGGAGUUUUAUUGGCAAGAACUUGCUCUAUUCAGCUGAGCUUUUCCUUAAGAAGACCCCUGAGGUACCAGCCCUCUCUGAGCCUAGUGGAGGGGGACUUUCUGUUCAUGCUGAGGCCCCUUCCCAGCCUGACAGAAGCUUCUAGCUCUUCCUUAGUCAGUUCCCUGCAGGUCUGGGAACCUUGUGCUAGUUCUGUUCUCUGGCCUCUGUGCUGUCACCUGUGAAGCUGUGUCCUUUGAUUUCCUCUUGCAAUCCUCUUGUUGCUCACAGCUGGCAACCUUCAUAGUCAUUCACACUCACACACAGCAUUUCUUCAUUUAUUCACAUUAAGUCAUUUCACACUCAUUUUAAUAGUUAUUAUUCACAGUACUGUUAGUUUAUAGCACCGCACAACAUUAUAAUGUUGUAGUGAACAGUCGUCAUUUCUUUGUGCUGCUCAGCCAGCUACGCACCAUUCUGGGUUUGGGACCUCCCCACCCACCUGCCUGCUGGGUGUGCAGGCUGCUCUUCUUUCACGAUGGAAACCAAAGGGGGGAGUUCCUCUCUCCCAGCCCAAAGGCCAUGCAGGAGCCAGCCUGUGAUCUUGGUUCAGCCAAACAGGCAGUACCAUCUCACACUUUGACUCUUAAGAGAACUUUGCUAAGAAUCUGGAACAGGUCAGACUUUCCUUAUGGUGGCGGCAGAGCCUUUGAGAUUUGGCAGUCAGCCCUGUUGGUUUUGAGCACCCCUAGGCUGUGGUGGCCUAGGGCAGCACAGACACUGCCCUACCCAUAUGGGUCCUGAGGCCCUGGCUAGUCCCCACUGGCCAUCCUGGGUUUCCAUCGUGUUUCUGGGCCUUGUUCUCCAGCUUUCUGUUGAUUCUGUGAGUUAUCUGAUAUUCUUCAAAAAUAUUCCUUUUCAUUUAAUGCUAGCCAGAACUGCUUAAAGAACCCUAUACUGUUUGACUUUUGUCUUAAAGUUUGAAACGUUACUUAGUAAGUCACAACAUACUAAUUUGAAUUUCAUUUGUAACAUAACUUCUCUUUCCCUAGGCCACAUAAGUCAGGGAGAUGGAGAGAGAAACAGAGGGGACAAAAAUAUAGUCACAACAGUAUUUACCUGGCUUCAUUUCACCCUUAGCUGCAAUUGUCCGGAACUCAGGUCCUGCCUCCUAAGAUCCUCCACAAUAGCAUUUCUGCGCUUCUCACUGCCUUGUAGCCCUGUAGCCUUCUGCUUGUCUAUCUCAGAGACUGCUGGUAGUGCUGCUUUUGUAAGGGUUUUCUUCUUCCAUGGCCCAUUUGUCUGUGGGCUAUCUGGCUUGCUUGAGUCAUAUCCACUAAUCAACUAUUAAGGCUGAUUCUUCUCUUUGGAAGACCCAGAGAUUUCAGCUAUGAUUCUGGGCUACACUUUGAGCCUCAGAAAUGACCAUGUGUUUAGUGGUGACCUCACGGGCAAAUGCCGCAAUACUUUUCUGGUGCCUGUCUGCCUAAGUCUUUUCUUCUCUGUCACUCCAGUUCUGCUUGUCCCCAGGGAUAUGAUUUUCAAGUCUCAUGAUCUUAUGUCAAGUCACAUCCAAUAUGAUCUGACGGGUUGGGGAGCAGGGCAGGGUCGGAUGAUCUGGAAUGACUGCCUCCUGUGCUGGAAUAAGCGAUAAGCAGACAGGCCCCUCCGCAAGUGCUGGGAGGAACGCCAGUGCCGCAGGUAGAACACAGCAUGAAAGGGGUAUGUGGAGGACGACAGGCCCGGAGAAAUCCUGUCUCAGGCCAGAGUGGAAGGCCAGAAUGUGGACUUUUCCAAGCAAGCAGGUUUUGCAACAUCUCUAGGAACCUAGGAGCCAGCAGUGAACAGGAGUCUAGGUAGGCAGAUGGGAAGCAGCGUCCUAGACACUCAGCUAGGGUUUGGGACCAAGAAUGCAGAAAUGAAUAGCUCCGGGUUGGGGGUGGGAGGUGUGGCACAGAACUAGGACACAUCUGUAGAAAAGUAUUUUUCUCGAACCAUAUCUGUAUUUUAGGUAUUCCAAGUCUAAAUAUUCCAUGGUUAAAAAAGUUUGGAAAUUAUGGAAUUUUAAGUUCUUCUCUUGGAGAUUCAUGAUUCACAAGACUAUACAAGACGCUGAAUCCUAUGAUUACAAACAAAAAAACAAAACCAAACCUGUUUAGUAGGUAAACAGGGUUAUGUAGGCAGAAGACAUUUUCUUUUUUUAAAUUACUUUUUUCAAAUUCAUGAGCAUUUGAAGUGGCAGCCAGCUGAGUCACAAAAUUGCUUUUAAAAAAUUAUGAUUAUUUUGUAAUUAUAAAACUGCAUAUAUAAUACAUAUAAGUGGUUUCAAAAAUAUUAGAGAAACAAUACGUUAAGAAAUAGAUUAUUACCAGUCCCUAUGAAGUUCCCCUGUGUGUCCCUCCUCAUUCAAAUUUCUCUCCUCUCUCUAAAGGUAACUCCAACUUGAAUUUUACCACUUUUCUAUGUAUCCCCAAACAAUAUUGUUUAACUUCACCUUUUUCAAAUAUUAUACCAUUUGAAAUCAUUGUUUGCAACCUUCUGUGAAUUGGCUCGUCCCCCAGUGGCAACAACUAGAGAGGAGGUGAGGAUCCCCGGCGCUGCCAUCUGAUAGGCUGUCUCCCUAGCUCCUCUUGCACUGGCAAUCCUUUCAUCACACAGGCCUUGUUUUGAAGGGACCUAUUCCACCCACAGUCGUUUCUCACCUCUAGGAGGCCAAAAAGCUGUAGUCAUUGCUGUGGUAUCAGGAACUCGAGUUCCUCUCAGAGGUGUUGUGAAGAGCUUCCCUUCCAACAGUACAUGGCCUAAAUACCAGGGAGGAAGUUUCUGACUUUUUCCAUCUUCAGUAAAACAGAACCUCUGUUGUGGAUGCAGUGGCUUUGCAAGGAGAGUGGCAUUGUCUCUUGGUGAAUGUAGUUGUUCAAGUCAUG
rnacentral:lncRNA from 1 species